UCAUAUUGUCUUGAGUGCUGUUUUUAAUAUAAAAAGAAUGUUGAGUUUUCAGAGUCUUUAUUGUCAUUUUUGUGAUAGGACCCUACCAGACUAUAUUUGAAUACGGCAUACCCAUGAAUUCUGGAACUGUUAUUCCUUAACCCAGUUUGGAGGAUAAGAGCUUACCAACUAGUUAUAAAUAUGCUGAGGUGAUGUAUUGCAAAAUAGCCAACAUACAACAAUUAAAGGAUAAUUGCAGACUACAUCCUGAUGAAGAUAUGGGUGACCCUCUGUCUGGUCAACAGGAGUUUAAAUAUGGACGGGACAGUGAUGUGGCAGCUCUUCCCUGGCUCAUUCACCUCUUGCCUUCAUUUGUGAAAGGAAGAAAGACUGGAGAGGGUCAAUGUGCAACUGAAGCUACUGAUUGUGCUGUGUGAUGAGCAUCAAUCCAUGCUUUGAGGGGUAUGAAUCAGCACAGCCCUGCCUGCUCUGUGUUGGGAACAGAAGUUGCAUCCAGAAUUUUUGCAUCAUUCUGGACCAAAAAGCCAUUCCCUCCAUGAUGAAGACCACUGAUGCAGCCUUCCACUACAUCAUGAGUAAAACAACUUAAGAACUAAAUACCAGGUUGGAACGUAUUUAAGAAAAAUGAAACGUCUUUUGAAUUGAAAUGUCUGUUUUGUUAUGGAAAAAUCUUUAGUAUUGUGAAGGAUAAGCAUUUCUGCCUGCCAGUAAGGUAAUUGCAGUGUAUUUUAAUGUUCAAGUUUUGAGUAGGGUGGCUAAUUUUUUUUAACUCAUUUGAUUUAUUAAAGACCUUAUAAUAAGUGGUUUUCAUGUCACUGCGCUGUGGUAUAAGAUAACUUUCAUUAUUCCAUACUGAAUUCUGCUUCUAAUUGUAGCUGUGG